AGGAAGUUGACUUUACAGGAAAGUAAAAAAAAAAGGUUCAAAUCCUUUACUUCUUA
rnacentral:tRNA from 1 species